UCUGCCACACUAUAACAAAACACAUUCGUCUCGUUUGUGUCGGAGUUGCAAGCAGGCGCAGAUGCAGCAGCAGCAACAGCAGCAGAAGCAGCGGCAGCCGCGGCAGCAGCACUUUUUGUACAAUUAAGCGGAGGAAAACUCGGAAAAUCUGUACAAGGCUGCGCCACCAGCAUCAACAAUAAUAGCGUGUGUUCUGCUCUCCCGCAAGGUUGAGAUUUUUCAAGGUGCGUUGGCACAGGGUACAUUCAAUGGAAGGUAGGGCAGAGAGGGCCGCUUGAAGGGUAUCAUGUACAUAUGUACCCCCUCCUGCGUAUAUGUACCUUGUGCUGGCAGGCUGCUGGGCUGGCGAUUUUGAUGGCCAUCAUCAAAUCCAGCUGGAAGGACCUUCAAUGGGCUCUGUCUCCCUCUCUGCGUGCGUUUGCAUGUGUGAGCUGUCAUACAGCCAGAGCAAAAGGUUGACGCUUGACGCGCAUUUCGUCAAGGUGAACAAACCGUAAAACCAACUGCCGACAGAGCAGCGACUGAGCAGAGCAGAGCAGGGCAGAGCAGUCAUCAGUCAGCAGAGAAGCCAACGCAGGCAGCGCAACUCCACUGUUUAGCACUCGCAGGCCGCUUUGUUCAAUUUUUAGUGAGUGUGCUUUAAUGUUAAUGACAUUGAUUUGGCAUUGAGGCACGCACACAAACACCAACACACACAAUCAGCCAUUACCUUAAGCCGCCUCUUCUCUCUCUUUCUCUCCGUGUUUGUAGCCUCUGCCUCGCCUCUUGCUCUCUCAAGGGCCCAAGAGCCGAAAAAAAUUUGUUUCGUUGUGGCAUUGAAAAUCAUUUGGAUAUGGCGCCACAAGGCAAAUGACACAAUAUGUGCGGGCGGGGGAGGGGGGGGCUUAAGAAGGUUAAGCUCCAGAAGCGGACAGUAGCAGCAGGAGGAAGGUAAGGUUCUGCCUCUCUCCGCGUGAUGACGAGGUACUGCGCUGUGCAUUGGGGUGGACCUUCAAUGACUUUUCAAGACUUAAUGAAAAUACCAAAUGAGUCACAAAUUCUAUUACUUUCAUACCUCCAAUACCUCCGACUGAGAAGAUUUUGAGUCAAAAUUCAUGCCAUUAGCUUUGCUUGCUUAGCUGCCAAAAGCCAUUAGCCAUGGUCCAAAGCAAACCCACAAAUGCUGACCCUUCCCAAUAUCAACAAGAUGUGCUGCCCUGUACUGUAGUUAGGGACCAGCCUAAUGCGGGAGGACGCGCCUGUUCAAACAUCCGACAGCUGAGACGCAACGAAUGCACUUGGACACGGACACGAAGAAGGCACAGCGAGAGUGGGAGUGGGAGAGGAGAUCACCCUGGGCGAUCCUCGGCGGACAGAUGAGCAGAGCCGUCUUCCUCUCUUUGGCUGUCUUUGUGUGGGCUGGCUCUCUCACAAAGGGCACAAGAUGAAGGAAGAACGAAAAAGCAGAGAGAAUUUAUGACAAAUGAAGAAACGGCGCAGCAGAGGGGCAGCACGCGUUAAAGAAAUCUCAUAAAUCGGCUUAAGCGAAAGGAGGAAGGAGAUAAAGAAAGGAAGGGACAACAAGGAGAAGGAGAAAUUGAUUAGCCAGCAGCUGCUCCAAAGAGAGCGCAGGGGUUUUUGGAGAGAUAGAGAGUGUGUGCGGCUCACAAUUUUCACCAAAAUCCUUCCGCCAAAAAAUAAAAGGGGAAAAGUUAUAUAAUUUGAGCGACUCGCUUUGGCGCUUUCCACAACUUCCGGACACUUUUCAUUAGCAUUUAAAUACAAUUUGAUAAAAACUACAACAACAAUCACAGCGAACGAAUGUCGACAACAAAAGGCAAUAAUAAACGAAACAGCAAAAAUGGUGAAAAUUUUUCAUUUUUUUUUUUCUUUACAACAAAUUAUCGCAUGAGUUUUCACUUGCAUGGCGGCUGCCACAAAAGUUUUCACCAACAACAAAUGCCUCCUUUCACUCGCCGCCCAAACACCAAACACCACCAAAGCAACAACAAAUGAAUGGAGCGGAGUGAAAAACGCUUUUCUGCUGUCGCUGAGUGAGCGAGCAAAAGGAAACGCUUUUCUUUUUACAUAUUGUAAAUGCAAAGACACAUAUUUGAUACCCUAGCAGAAGGAGGGCAUUAUGUGUUUGAUGAAAAGUGGUCAGUGAAGAAAGGGAAUGGCAUUUCCUACCCUUUCAAUGGCGCCUGUUGGAACUCCUAUGACGAUUGUAACUAUUGAGUACCUUAUUAUUACCUGGACGAGGGGUAUCCACAGCUUCGACCCAAAAAAUCCCACCUUUUCUUGCGGGGCAGAGAGAGAGAGGAGAGACACCGCGACAAGAGGAAGAAGCGUCGCCGGUUGGCAAUUUAAUUUAAAUAAUGUGAACUUUCAUGCCAAUGAAAAUGAUUUCAAAAGAGAAACUCUCCUUCCAUCCAACACGUUCGGUUCGUUUGCUCCCCAAACAACGAACAACCGACAACAUCACUUCCGCUACAAAUGCAGCAGCAAACGCUUCAGCAGCAGCCACGAUGACACCCACCCACCCGAAGAAAAGAAAGAGAGAGAAGAGGCAACGCAUGCAAUUUCUCUCCAGCUCUCCCUAUACUCCAGCUCUCCCUAUACUCCAGCUCUCCCCCCCCUUCCAUGGAGUGUCGUCAAGAGUUGACGCAUAUUAAUUUUCAAAACUCCCACGCUCAACAUUUUUGUUAUCGCUUUUGUUUUUCUCCAUUUGUUGUGCUUCGUUUUCUUUGGAUUUCGUUUUGGGGUCUUUCACUCAAGCCGAUCGUCCGUCCAUUUGCCUUUUGCCCUCCCUACCUGCCCCCCCUCUGCAAUCCACCAUCCACGAUACGAUCCACGAUCCGCAUUGCGUUUUUGCAGAGGGAGAGAAAGCUCCUCUCCUUUUUCACUGUCUCGCUCUUGCAUAUGCAGUUUUGCCUGCAGUUUUCGUGAAAGUCGACAGCGUCGUCGUCGCCUGCGCUGCCGCCUCUGCCCCUUUGCUGAGCUUUUGUUGCUUUUGUUGUUAUAUAAAGCGUACGAAAUCAUGUAAGUGGAGUGAAAUUUGCCUUCUGUUUCGAUGUUUUUGCUGUUUUUACCUUGUUUGGGCCUAUUCGAUUGUUUUUUCAUUGUUUGCACUAAUGGAAACAAUUGAAAGUUUGGGAAAUUAUGUUUCCAUACAUUAACCUCUUAAAUGAUCCUUGAUUGCAGGGAAAACUUUGUUAGACUCCCUUAGGGAGCUGGAAUAUGACCCUAAAUGGACACAUGUUUUGUUGUUAAUCUAGUUAAAGUGAAAGCUCUAAUGAAGGGACUUUUCCUGGGGUGUACAUGUAUCAUUUUUCGUGCUUUUAGAGAAAAUAUUCCUUUGACCAUUUUUCAAUAGCUUUAUAUGCCUUCUUGAAGCUACAAUUCUUUGGCCUUAUAAAUCGCAAUUAAUUUCAACAGAUCUCUCGUCAUCAGCAUGUGACAAUGGUCAUCGCGUCCCAUUUUCCACGCAUAAUACGAUUAUGCUGUUAAUUUUUACAUAACUGCCGUGGCUUAGUUUUUUCUGUUGGUUUUUUUUUGUGGAUUUGAAAUGCUAAUCAACUGAAGACGAGGCCUUUGUCACAUUUUGUGUUUGCUCGAAAGUAGGCCGUGGGCGUGGCUUGCAACAUUUGUUUGACACUUUUUUUGGUUCGGUUCGGUUCGGGGGGCAUUGCAGCAUAAAUGAAAGUUGACCAUUUUUUAACCGCAAAUAAUAAUGAGGGGAAAACAUAUUUCGAUUACGUAAAAAUUACAGGCAGCAUAAAAAAUGAGCAACAUCACGACGUCGGCGCCGACGCCGCUGCGCUGCGCUGCCCUGGGCUUAUUUGUAUGGCCCGGACUGUGCGCAGGCGCGUAGGUGGGCAGCGAACGUUUUCACCCGAACGCAAGCAAACACGAAGCCGAGUCCGAAGCCGAAGCCGCAGCCGCAGUUCGAAACGAGAGCAACACUUUUAUGUAAUCGUAAAGCGAGUCAAAAACUUGUUUGAUGACGUCGUCGAGGCUUGAGGCUCUCUCUGUGUGCACCUCGACUCUCUUUUGUGAUUCUCUCUUUGGUUCGAGUUGUAGCGCGUGGCUCUUAGUGUUUUCUUUGUUGUGGUUGUUGUUGUAUAACAAGUUUGAGCGGCGCUGGCAAACAUCAUUAUGACCGCUCGGUAUGAUCAUCAUCGUGAUGAAAUCAAUAAAUUAAUAAGCAACAUGCUCCAUGUGUGCCCAAUUUUCCCAUUCAAACAUUUUUUGGGGCAAACUUUUGCCCGACACCCGUCGCCCAGACGGAGCUUUCUUGUUUGCAUUUUGCCGCUUUUACCUGCUUCUCUGCACUUUCUAAACAAAUUGAGCGGCACUGAAGAGAGCGGUGAGCUAGAGGGAGAUGGCAAGAAAUUGGCUUUAUGCGUUUUCACAUUUUGUUUUUGUCGUGCUUUCUUUUUUUUUUUCUCCGCUUCGUGGUUGCUCUUUGGAUUUCUACUACUUUUUCUUUAGGCGCAAUGCGUCUUCGUGAUCUGUAUUUGGCUUAAAGACGACUGCCUGUCUUCUCCCUCAGUCGCCCCUCUGCCCCUGUCCCUGUCCGUCUCUGUCUUUUAUUGGCUUAGAAAUUCUUGUUUGCUUUUCGCCCGAUUUCCAAGAGAUUUGUUCUAAAUAAAAUGUGGGUUGAGUGAGAGAGCGAGGCAGAUUUUUCGUUUUACGAUUAUUGGGUGAAAUGUUGUGCUGUGCUGUGCUGAAGCAAAGUGAAAACUCCUCCUGAAUUUGUAUCUGCACCUCUAGCAGAGUUCAAGAUACACGAUUCGAAAGAGCAAUUACUCUAAAAAGAAUGGAGGCCAAAGCGAAAAAGAUACUCCCCUCGCAGAUCGUAGAUUGUGGCAAUAAGAAAUAUCAGCGAAAUGGCUGUUAAAAUAAGGAGAUAAGAUCCUAUUGGGAAAAGAUAUAUCACACUCCUUGAGAAAAACCAUUGUAAAUUCUCCAUGCAACAUGUUAUCAUCAGAUCCGCAUGCUGCAGCAGCACUAACAAAAUGCUGGACAGCGACUAUGUUAAUGAAUUUAAUUUCGCUUUGACUUUUGAAAGUUUUCAAUAAUUUAUAUAAAAUAAAUGGGAGACGACAGCCCGUGGCGGGCACCAGUCACAAAAAUGGGAAAGUUGCAUUGCAGCCACACACCAGAUAUCAGUAAAUAA
rnacentral:sRNA from 1 species